rnacentral:lncRNA from 1 species
CGUAGGCCUGCCCCAGCCAGCCUCUGAGAGCCUCUGUUGAACUGAUGUGGCUGACUGAGAGACACAACCUCCUUGCCUGCCUGUCUGUCAACCCCUCAGCACAACCCUAGGUCUUCUC